AGUGAACGCUGGCGGUAGGCCUAACACAUGCAAGUCGAACGGCAGCACAGUAAGAGCUUGCUCUUACGGGUGGCGAGUGGCGGACGGGUGAGGAAUACAUCGGAAUCUACUUUUUCGUGGGGGAUAACGUAGGGAAACUUACGCUAAUACCGCAUACGACCUACGGGUGAAAGCAGGGGAUCUUCGGACCUUGCGCGAUUGAAUGAGCCGAUGUCGGAUUAGCUAGUUGGCGGGGUAAAGGCCCACCAAGGCGACGAUCCGUAGCUGGUCUGAGAGGAUGAUCGGCCACACUGGAACUGAGACACGGUCCAGACUCCUACGGGAGGCAGCAGUGGGGAAUAUUGGACAAUGGGCGCAAGCCUGAUCCAGCCAUACCGCGUGGGUGAAGAAGGCCUUCGGGUUGUAAAGCCCUUUUGUUGGGAAAGAAAAGCAGCAGGUUAAUACCCCGCUGUUCUGACGGUACCCAAAGAGUAAGCACCGGCUAACUUCGUG
rnacentral:rRNA from 1 species